rnacentral:rRNA from 1 species
GAGUAACGCGUGAGGAACCUGCCUCAAAGAGGGGGACAACAGUUGGAAACGACUGCUAAUACCGCAUAAGCCCACGGGUCGGCAUCGAUCUGAGGGAAAAGGAGCAAUCCGCUUUGAGAUGGCCUCGCGUCCGAUUAGCUAGUUGGUGAGGUAAUGGCCCACCAAGGCGACGAUCGGUAGCCGGACUGAGAGGUUGAACGGCCACAUUGGGACUGAGACACGGCCCAGACUCCUACGGGAGGCAGCAGUGGGGAAUAUUGCACAAUGGGGGAAACCCUGAUGCAGCGACGCCGCGUGGAGGAAGAAGGUCUUCGGAUUGUAAACUCCUGUUGUUGAGGAAGAUAAUGACGGUACUCAACAAGGAAGUGACGGCU